GAUGAACGCUAGCGGCAGGCCUAACACAUGCAAGUCGAGGGAGAAGCCCUUCGGGGCAGAAACCGGCGCACGGGUGCGUAACGCGUAUGCAACCUACCUUUCACAGGGGGAUUGCCCGAAGAAAUUUGGAUUAAUACCCCAUAAUAUUAUUGGAUGGCAUCAUUUGAUAAUUAAAACUGAGGUGGUGAAAGAUGGGCAUGCGUCCUAUUAGCUAGUUGGAGUGGUAACGGCACCCCAAGGCUACGAUAGGUAGGGGUCCUGAGAGGGAGAUCCCCCACACUGGUACUGAGACAGGGACCAGACUCCUACGGGAGGCAGCAGUGAGGAAUAUUGGUCAAUGGUCGGAAGACUGAACCAGCCAUGCCGCGUGCAGGAAGAAUGCCUUAUGGGCUGUAAACUGCUUUUAUAUGGGAAGAAUAAGGAGUACGUGUACUUNGANGACGGUNCCA
rnacentral:rRNA from 1 species